rnacentral:misc_RNA from 1 species
GCACCUACCGAUUGAAUGAUUCGGUGAAAAUCUCGGACUGCGGCUUGGAUGCUUUCGGGCAACCAAGCUGUGGAAAGUUGUUUAAACCUCAUCAUUUAGAGGAAGGUGAAGUCGUAACAAGGUUUCCGUAGGUGAACCUGCAGAAGGAUCAAGCUCGGCCGAGCGCCGCGUACGGAAAGAGUGCAGCUCCCGGCCCCCCCCGCCCCACCCCACCCCCCCCCCCCCCCCCCCCCCCCCCCCCCCCCCCCCCCCCCCCCCCCCCCCCCCCCCCCCCCCC